AUUCACAUUACUAUAAGACGUGUCACGGUACUUAUCUAUCCCAAAUUCUUGUAUUUGGUUUCAAUGUUAUAUUUGUUAUUCGCAUAUGAUUUUGUCGAAUGCUUAGUCCGGUUCUGUGUGUGUGUGUGUGUGUGUGUGUGUGUUACAUUUUAAUGUUAUGUCGUUGUUCUCUUAUAUUUGAUGCGUUUCCAUCAGUUUGUUACCCCG
rnacentral:lncRNA from 1 species